CCUACGGGGGGCAGCAGUGGGGAAUAUUGCGCAAUGGGCGAAAGCCUGACGCAGCGACGCCGCGUGGGUGAUGAAGGCCUUCGGGUUGUAAAGCCCUGUCGGGUGGAACGAACGAUCUGGCGGCGAAUAACCGCCGGGUGUGACGGUACCACCGAAGGAAGCCCCGGCUAACUACGUGCCAGCAGCCGCGGUAAGACGUAGGGGGCGAGCGUUGUGCGGAUUUACUGGGCGUAAAGCCCGUUGUGACGGCCCUCGGCUUAACCGAGGUCCCGCAUCCGAUACUGUCUGGCUCGAGUCUAGGAGAGGAAAGCGGAAUUCCCAGUGUAGCGGUGAAAUGCGUAGAUAUUGGGAGGAACACCGGUGGCGAAGGCGGCUUUCCGGACUAGUACUGACGCUGAGGCGCGAAAGCUAGGGGAGCGAACGGGAUUAGAUACCCUUGUAGUC
rnacentral:rRNA from 1 species